CUUCCUGAGGUGGCUUACAUGCCUUUGUCGGUCAUGAUAACUACCUUCAGAAAGGAGAAUGUUAAGCGACCACUGGAGGGAUUUGGAGUUCUUGUACCUUCCUUAGAACAACAAAAUGGUCUAAGAACCCUUGGUACACUCUUUUCCUCCAUGAUGUUUCCAAAUCGUGCAUCAAAUGAUGAGUAUCUGUAUACUACUUUUAUUGGAGGGAGUCGAAAUAGGGAGCUUGCAAAGUCAUCAACGUUAGGAGAGCGCUUUUUGGUUUCAUUAUUAUGCAUACAAACAAACAAACAUACAAACACAAAUUUUCUUGCUGCCAUUAUCUAAUUCAAUAAUUUUUCUUUUUGGUUAUUACUGCUUUAUCUCGCAAAUUGUAACUAACCUUUCCUUCACUUGCUUUCCAGAGACGAGUUGAAGAAAAUUGUUACAUCGGAUCUAAGACAGCUGUUGGGAGUUGAAGGGGAGCCCACUUUUGUCAACCAUUUCAAUUGGAGCAAAGCAUUUCCCUUAUAUGGGCGUAACUAUGAUUCAGUUGUGAAGGGAAUUGGAACGAUGGAAAAAAAUCUUCCUGGCUUCUUUUAUGCAGGUAACCACAGGGAUGGUUUGUCUGUUGGCAAAUCUAUUGCCUCCGGAUGCAAAGCUGCCGAUCUUGUAAUUUCUUAUCUGGAAUCUUCUACUGACGAAUCAUGCGCUGAACAACGAUAUUAAUCGGAAAAAUAGAAGUGCAACCUUAUAAGACAGGACUCCUCUCACGCUGUUGGAAGAAUCAGUAUCCAUUAUCUGCUAAGUAAUUUUCUGAUCAUUGCAUUUAUUUGUUGUAUGACUCAUAACAUCAACUUCCAAGUUGCAAUGAAGAUCCACUACUGGACUGGAAUGCUGUAUUGCAAUUCUUGUAUUCUGCAGUGAGAGACCAAAAU
rnacentral:misc_RNA from 1 species